AACGAACGCUGGCGGCAGGCUUAACACAUGCAAGUCGAACGCAUCCUUCGGGGUGAGUGGCAGACGGGUGAGUAACGCGUGGGAACGUGCCCUUCAGUUCGGGAUAACCCAGGGAAACUUGGGCUAAUACCGGAUACGUGCGAGAGCAGAAAGAUUUAUCGCUGAAGGAUCGGCCCGCGUCUGAUUAGCUAGUUGGUGGGGUAAUGGCCCACCAAGGCGACGAUCAGUAGCUGGCCUGAGGGGAUGAUCAGCCACAUUGGGACUGAGACACGGCCCAAACUCAUACGGGAGGCAGCAGUGGGGAAUAUUGGACAAUGGGCGCAAGCCUGAUCCAGCCAUGCCGCGUGAGUGAUGAAGGCCAUAGGGUUGUAAAGCUCUUUCGUCCGGGACGAUAAUGACGGUACCGGAAGAAGAAGCCCCGGCUAACUUCGUGCCAGCAGCCGCCGUAA
rnacentral:rRNA from 1 species